CCUACGGUGGGCAGCAGUAGGGAAUCUUCCACAAUGGGCGAAAGCCUGAUGGAGCAACGCCGCGUGGGUGAAGAAGGUCUUCGGAUCGUACAGCCCUUUUGUUAGAGAAGAAAGUGCGUGAGAGUAACUGUUCCCGUUUCGACGGUAUCUAACCAGAAAGCCACGGCUAACUCCGUGCCAGCAGCCGCGGUAAUACGUAGGUGGCAAGCGUUAUCCGGAUUUAUUGGGCGUAAAGGGAACGCAGGCGGUCUUUUAAGUCUGAUGUGAAAGCCUUGGGCUUAACCGGAGUAGUGCAUUGGAAACUGGGAGACGUGAGUGCAGUAUAGGAGAGUGGAAGUCCAUGUGUAGCGGUGAAAUGCGUAGAGAUAUGGAAGAACACCAGUGGCGAAAGCGGCUCUCUGGUCUGUAACUGACGCUGAGGUUCGAAAGCGUGGGGAGCAAACAGGAUUAGAUACCCGGGUAGUC
rnacentral:rRNA from 1 species